GAAUCUGCCUUCAGGUCGGGGACAACCACUGGAAACGGUGGCUAAUACCCGAUGUGCGCAACGUGAAAGAUUUAUCGCCUGAAGAGGAGCUCGCGUCUGAUUAGCUAGUUGGUGGGGUAAAAGCUCACCAAGGCGACGAUCAGUAGCUGGUCUGAGAGGAUGAUCAGCCACACUGGGACUGAGACACGGCCCAGACUCCUACGGGAGGCAGCAGUGGGGAAUUUUCCGCAAUGGGCGAAAGCCUGACGGAGCAAGACCGCGUGAGGGAGGAAGGCUCUUGGGUUGUAAACCUCUUUUCUCAGGGAAGAACUUCAUGACGGUACCUGAGGAAUCAGCCUCGGCUAACUCCGUGCCAGCAGCCGCGGUAAUACGGAGGAGGCAAGCGUUAUCCGGAAUUAUUGGGCGUAAAGCGUCCGCAGGUGGCACUUCAAGUCUGUCGUCAAAGACUGGGGCUUAACCCUGGAAAGGCGGUGGAAACUGAAGCGCUAGAGUGUGGUAGGGGUAGAGGGAAUUCCCGGUGUAGCGGUGAAAUGCGUAGAGAUCGGGAAGAACAUCGGUGGCGAAAGCGCUCUACUGGACCACAACUGACACUCAGGGACGAAAGCUAGGGGAGCG
rnacentral:rRNA from 1 species